rnacentral:tRNA from 1 species
GUCCCGGUAGCUCAGCGGACAGAGCAGCAGCCUUCUAAGCUGUUGGUCGGGGGUUCGAAUCCCUCCCGGGACG